CCUACGGGUGGCAGCAGUGAGGAAUAUUGGUCAAUGGACGCAAGUCUGAACCAGCCAUGCCGCGUGCAGGAAGACGGCUCUAUGAGUUGUAAACUGCUUUUGUACGAGGGUAAACGCAGAUACGCGUAUCUGUCUGAAAGUAUCGUACGAAUAAGGAUCGGUUAACUCCGUGCCAGCAGCCGCGGUAGUACGGAGGAGUGAAGCGUUAUCCGGAUUUAUUGGGUUUAAAGGGUGCGUAGGCGGUCGGAGAAGUUAGAGGUGAAAACCCGAGGCUCAACUUCGGAAUUGCCUCUGAUACUGUUAGGCUAGAGAGUAGUAGAGGUAGGCGGAACGUAAGGUGUAGCGGUGAAAUGCUUAGAGAUCAGACAGAACACCGAUUGCGAAGGCAGCUUACCAAGCUACUUCUGACGUUGAGGCACGAAAGCGUGGGGAGCAAACAGGAUUAGAUACCCGAGUAGUC
rnacentral:rRNA from 1 species